rnacentral:rRNA from 1 species
CACUCUAAUGGGACUGCCGGUGACAAACCGGAGGAAGGUGGGGAUGACGUCAAGUCCUCAUGGCCCUUAUGGGUAGGGCUUCACACGUCAUACAAUGGUCGGUACAGAGGGUUGCCAAGCCGCGAGGCGGAGCCAAUCCCACAAAGCCGAUCGUAGUCCGGAUUGUCUCUGCAACUCGAGAGCAUGAAGUCGGAAUCGCUAGUAAUCGCAGGUCAGCAUACUGCGGUGAAUACGUUCCCGGGUCUU